rnacentral:rRNA from 1 species
AGAGUUUGAUCCUGGCUCAGGAUGAACGCUGGCGGCGUGCCUAAUACAUGCAAGUCGAACGAAUCUCUUUUAGAGAUGAGUGGCGAACGGGUGAGUAAUACAUAGGUAACCUGCCCCUGUGCGGGGGAUAACAGGAGGAAACUCCUGCUAAUACCGCAUAGCCAUGAGCACCGCAUGGAGCUCAUGCCAAAUAUCCUUUCGGGGAUAGCACAGGGAUGGACCUAUGGCGCAUUAGCUUGUUGGCGGGGCAACGGCCCACCAAGGCAACGAUGCGUAGCCGGCCUGAGAGGGCGGACGGCCACAUUGGGACUGAGACACGGCCCAGACUCCUACGGGAGGCAGCAGUAGGGAAUUUUCGGCAAUGGGGGAAACCCUGACCGAGCAACGCCGCGUGAGCGAAGAAGGCCUUCGGGUCGUAAAGCUCUGUUGUAAAGGAAGAACGGCGCAUACAGGAAAUGGUAUGCGAGUGACGGUACUUUACCAGAAAGCCACGGCUAACUACGUGCCAGCAGCCGCGGUAAUACGUAGGUGGCGAGCGUUAUCCGGAAUCAUUGGGCGUAAAGAGGGAGCAGGCGGCCGCAAGGGUCUGUGGUGAAAGACCGAAGCUAAACUUCGGUAAGCCAUGGAAACCGGGCGGCUAGAGUGCGGAAGAGGAUCGUGGAAUUCCAUGUGUAGCGGUGAAAUGCGUAGAUAUAUGGAGGAACACCAGUGGCGAAGGCGACGGUCUGGGCCGCAACUGACGCUCAUUCCCGAAAGCGUGGGGAGCAAAUAGGAUUAGAUACCCUAGUAGUCCACGCCGUAAACGAUGGUCACUAAGUGUCGGGGGUCAAACCCCGGUGCUGCAGUCAAC